GGCCAGAAGAGCAGUUCUCCAGGCCCAGAAGUAAGCUACACCCACAAUUCUGUAUGCAGCUGUGAGAAAGGAGAGUGGAAAUCCAAGUCAAUGCAGUAUCACCGUGUUCCCAAUCACGAGUAUUCCACUGGGCCCACUGGCUGCCAAGACAUGGAUGGGAUCCAGUGGUGAGCCUGCCCCAGCACAUGAAACACAUGCUUGGGAAACAGUGCCUGACUGGAUGGAGCCCUCUGGUACCCUCAAAGAGAAGCAACUCGCCUCAUGACGGCAAGAACUGUAAAACAAAGCUAGGAUUUUACCCCUACUGGGCCAUCCACGCUUUUAGAACCACAGAUUCUCAGGGAAUGCAGCAUUAACCUACAUACAGCUAGAAAAUUGACAGUAGCAUAUCUCAACCCAAUUACCUUGAAUCACAACUCUGGUAAAAGUUUUAGCAAUGGAAGAGUUAAAAUGAUUCACUAGAUGGAAGUUUUUGAUAAUUUGUUGACUUUAGCCAUGGAUAAUUAAGAGUGAUGGAAUCCUCGUUUCACUAUCAAGGAAGCUGCAGUCAAGGUCAAACAGAUGAGCGCCCUGGAAUUCCAUGGAAGACAGCACAAAACCAAUAAAACCACUGGUGUUCAGUU
rnacentral:lncRNA from 1 species